AACUUGUACAACUGCCUCAGUCCUUAAGGGGUUAAAGAGUACAUAAUAUGUCAAUGUAUUUUUUGGUAGUUACAGACCACAACUACCAGGGGGGAUAUGAUAGAAACAUUUAAAUACAUAAAGGGAAUCAACACAGUAAAGGAGGAGACCAUAUUUAAAAGAAGAAAAACUUCCACAACAAGACGACAUAGUCUUAAAUUAGAG